rnacentral:rRNA from 1 species
GAGGAACGCUAGCGACAGGCUUAACACAUGCAAGUCGAGGGGCAGCAUGGCUUUGGUUUACUAAAGCUGAUGGCGACCGGCGCACGGGUGAGUACCGCGUAUGCAACUUACCUGUCAGUAGGGCAUAACCCGGCGAAAGUCGGACUAAUUCCCUAUAAUACAAUUUUACCGCCUGGUUUAAUUGUUAAAGAUUUAUUGCUGACAGAUGGGCAUGCGUUCCAUUAGGUUUUUGGGGAGGUAACUGCUCACCAAGCCUUCGAUGGAUCGGGGAACUGAGAGGUCGGUCCCCCACACUGGAACUGAGACACGGUGCAGACUCCUACGGGAGGCAGCAGUGGGGAAUAUUGGACAAUGGGUGGAACCCUGAUCCAGCCAUGCCGCGUGUGUGAAGAAGGCCUUUUGGUUGUAAAGCACUUCAAGCGAGGAGGAGGCUACCGAGAUUAAUACUCUUGGAUAGUGGACGUUACUCGCAGAAUAAGCACCGGCUAACUCUGUGCCAGCAGCCGCGGUAA